GGCUGGUCUGAAGGUAGUGAGUUAUCUCAAUUGAUGGUUCACAGUUAGUUACAGAUCAAACUCCUUGUUCUACUCUUUCCCCCUUCUCACUACUGCAGUUGACUAGUCUUUA
rnacentral:Y_RNA from 1 species